GUGUGUGUGUGUGUGUGCGUGAGACUGUGUGUGUGUGUGUGUGUGUGUGUAACGAGGGUCCUCUGUAUUCACGCUAUGUGUAGAUAAUGUGUACGUGUGUAGCCUCAUAUCUUUAUACUGAGUAUAUUUAUACGUCUGUUUGUUUUCUAACACAUUGAGUUCAGCGUCUCAAUCCCCUCCAGUGUAAAUUAGCAUCACUCAUGUAUAUAUUUUUCUGUUUGUUGUCUCUAAAGCAGCAGAUUCCUGUAUUGAAUUGAUGUUAUUUUUUUGCUCAAAAUGAGGGAGGCUUGUUGGUUGGAGGCGUUCGGGUCGGGUGGAGCGGGUGGAGCCCGACGCUUUCAAAGCGCCUCCUGAAUUCAAACAGCAUUUUAGGAGCGUUCUAAAACGCUGAGCAUGCUGGGUACUUUGUUCACUUUGUACUACUGAACAAGGCGUGUAACUACAACACUGCUGGAGCAGCUGUCUGUAAGUCGAGGACAGAUUGUCAUUCAACAUCUGUGUCGAGGCCUCGCGGUGUCUGCUGGGGGAUCGGGGCUCCAGCGGGUUGUGAGAUCAGUUAUUCCGAGUCAUUAAAGUUGAUUCCCUGCUGACGUCUCCGACGUCGUACUCGAGCUUCAGUUUCGUCUGCUGAUACAUUAUGAACUCGUCAGCUCGCGGAGCCGAUGCUCCACUUCCUGUCUGUGGGCAGGUAAAAGUCACCUCCCCAAAGCGCUGCAGGCGGAACUUCUGGUAAGCGCUCGAAAUACUGACAUGUAACGUUGUCAAAACCGGUUUUAGUCCGUUUUGAUUGUUUUAUUUUGAUGUAUAAAUGUUCCCGGCAACGUUUCCAUCGAAUUCUGUUUAAUCCUGUAAAUCAUUAAAAGACCAAUUUCUAGUGAGGAAAAGUUUGUUGUGACGUCCACAUCGAGCUGUGAGCCAAUAGUUCAUUUAAGUAGUGAAGCUAAAGAUUAAGACGCUUACGAUUUGAAGACUUUACUGCAAUUACUCUAAAGCAGACGACGAUGUCACCGCGGUCACGAGGCACACAACUGUCAUAUUUAGGUGUUGAUAUUUAUCUGAUGAGAGAUUAUUAAAGGCUCUGCAAAACACGUUGAAUUUCUUUAUCAAAAUAUUGUAUAAAAAAGUGUGAAGCGCACCUUUUCUCUCAGUUCAAACCAGAUAUUUCUAGAUAGUAGUGAAAUACUACUUCCAGCGUCACAAGCGGUGACGGUUUGGAAGCGAUUGUGGUGUAAACAUUUUAAAUAAUUGAG
ensembl:lncRNA